UACGUAGGGGGCUAGCGUUGUCCGGAUUUAUUGGGCGUAAAGAGCGUGUAGGCGGUCCGGUAAGUCCGCUGUGAAAUCCCUCGGCCCAACCGAGGAACUGCCUUUGAAACUGCAAGGCUCGAGGCCGGGAGAGGGUGGUGGAAUUCCCAGUGUAGCGGUGAAAUGCGUAGAUAUUGGGAGGAACACCAGUGGCGAAGGCGGCUUUCUGGGCCUUACCUGACGCUGAGACGCGAAAGCGUGGGGAGCGAACCGG
rnacentral:rRNA from 1 species